rnacentral:rRNA from 1 species
AAUGAACGUUGGCGGCGUGGAUUAGGCAUGCAAGUCGAGCGAGAAUUUGCGAUUGGAAGCUUCGGCCGAAGAAAGUGAAGGAAGCGGCAAACGGCGUAGUAAGGCGUAGGUACGUACCCUCGGGUCGGGAAUAGCCAUGGGAAACUGUGGGUAAUGCCCGAUAAUCUCUGCGGAGCAAAGGUGUGAUUCCGCCGGAGGAGCGGCUUACGUGAUAUUAGCUAGUUGGUGGGGUAAUGGCCUACCAAGGCAACGAUGUCUAGGGGGUGUGAGAGCAUGGCCCCCCACGACCGGAACUGAGACACUGUCCGGACACCUACGGGUGGCUGCAGUCGAGAAUCUUCCGCAAUGGGCGAAAGCCUGACGGAGCGACGCCGCGUGGUGGAUGAAGGCCCUUGGGUUGUAAACACCUGUCAGAGGGGAUGAAAUCAUGGUUGGCAAUCCUUCCAUGUUGACAGAGCCUCAGAGGAAGCACGGGCUAAGUACGUGCCAGCAGCCGACGG